CAACCGCCACUUCGAAAAUAAAUCCAUCCCUGCGGAAAACGAAAGGCCCAUUCGCAAGGCGUCGCGGCAGCCUGACAAGAGUACCUAGGCCACAUCAGCAAAAAUUGAACGGCACUUUUUCGCUUCGUCUUCGCGAGUGGUAGCAUCGCCGCCAUCAUCAGGCGACAUCAACUAAAAGUGAAAAACUUUAGGCCACGAGGCGGAAUCACUUUGUGGCACGGUCGGAACGGUUACCUUUGCCAGCCAGAAGGUGUUCUCGAGGCGACGGCACUAAAUUCCGGAGUUCCUUCUGAGGAGAACGACUAAAGACUCCGAUGCAUGAAGUCUCCACUCGCCAGGAGUGUCAGAAGCCGUCUUAUAGAAGGUCAUGCAUCGAGAGCGGAUCACGUGGAAACGCAGAAACACUACAAUCGUCGGAACCCAGACACGAAACGGUCUAAGUAGUUGGUCAGCAACCAGAUAGACCGAAAAUACCCCAUCUAACGGGGUGUUUUUGAAGGACUAACGUUUGGCUUGGCUGCGAUUUGGUCAGACUGUUAGCUUGCGUGACCGCUACUCCACCGGAUUACAGUUUCGUCGGAAAGGUUGUGCAUAUCUGCCGGACGGGUAGAAGGAUAGGAUCACUUGACAGUCGCCGUCGAGUCGCGGAUCGGUUUUGUCGGGUCAUUGCGGAAGACGGUGACCGCUGUCUUCGGAUAGCUUCUCCCAACCCACCGGACGAUCAGAUCGUUGGCUUUUGAAGGAACCGAACCGGAGGCGGAAGCAGGACGAGAACGCUAAUGGUGCGAAAAUCUCGACGAGGGAAUCAGACGCCUCGGAGAGAUCCCAUCCAGCAACGCGGUCGCACUGGACGGCCAGAGGGGUCUCCAGCGGAGGACGUUCGUCGGACGAGUGGCGCGAUGGCAGUGUGUGCGAGGCGGGCAAUCCCGGCGACAUGUGAGCCGUCAGAAAGUUGGUAGGCCAGGGUGCACCCAAGAAGAAAAUUCGUGAGUACGCAUGAGGUUAGCUUGUAAGCAGAAGAUUUAGAGAACAUUAGGGAACAUUAGAUGACAGGAGCAGUAGAAGAAACAUCAAUGAGCU